CAAUAGCGUAUAUUAAAGUUGUUGCAGUUAAAAAGCUCGUAGUUGGAUUUCUGGUGGGAGCGAUCGGUCUGGCGCUUAGCGCGAGUACUUGCAUCGUCUCCGGCCAUCCUUGGGGAAAGUCUGUCUGGCAUUAAGUUGUCGGGCAGAGGAUCCUCAUCGUUUACUGUGAAAAAAUUAGAGUGUUCAAAGCAGGCUUAUGCCGUUGAAUAUAAUAGCAUGGAAUAAUAAGAUAGGACUUUGGUACUAUUUUGUUGGUUUGCGCACCAAAGUAAUGAUUAAUAGGGACAGUUGGGGGUAUUCGUAUUCCGUUGUCAGAGGUGAAAUUCUUGGAUUUACGGAAGACGAACUACUGCGAAAGCAUUUACCAAGGAUGUUUUCAUUAA
rnacentral:rRNA from 1 species